UGUAUAUCAUUGUUUUAUGUACCACUGUUGUGUUUUGUUUGAAGAAGUAUGUCUUGAGGUAGAUAAUUUGAAAAACUAUACAGAAUCAUAAUACCCUGAACGCGUCUUCUUGGAAUAUUCAUGUUUUCAUAUAUGUAUAUAAUUGCUGUUGUUUUAUCUGUUCUUGAUGAUCGUAUAGAAAUUCCUAUUUUGCAGUGUGAAAUUUUGGUUUUUAAAAUGUCUCUGAGUUUUGGCGGUAUUUUCUAGACUUUAAAUACAUGGAUGUGCCAACUAGUUGGUGCUUUUUUCAAAUGGCUUUUCGUUCUUUAUGUAACACGUAGGGAGGUUUCUUUUUUUCCAUUAGCAUUGACUUUGUUUUCUACAGCUUUACUGUUUACGAAUGAGUAAUUUCUUGUAUAUAAAAGGUGGUUAUUUCUCUAAUAAUAUUGAUCUUUUCUAGGAUUUUCUAGGGAGUUGCUAAACAAAUAAUUGAUCUGUAGUUUACAGUGUUCCUGGUGUUAUAAUUUUUACGACUAAAGUAGGCUAUUCCUUGAGUUAAGCAUGGUGGUAGAGUGAUAGAGUGUUUGAAUUUGGGGGUGUAUGGUUUAUUGGUUCAAGUAAUUUACGAUGCAUUUUAUACCAAUAAUUGUGGAUGUGAUCUACUAGGGAGCAUUUUCAGUUGUAUUGUAUUCUUGAUUGCUUUGUGAGUUCAGGUAGUCUUAUAAUUUUGUAUAAAUUUCGAAUAAUGAUUGGCACUCAAUAAGCGAUUUCCAUCCAUCAUGCUAAGAUGCCUCAAAAUUUGAGAAGCUUUAUUUGUGCGAAGAAAUAAAAACUCAAGUCAUAUGUCAAACAAAUGUACUUACUGAUAAUUGUGAUCACUACUCAAUCUAUAAAAGUAUCGAUUUUUGGAUAACACUCACCAAAAAGUAUCGAUAACUAUAUGCACUAUAAGUAUUUUUCUUCCAUUGAGUGUGAAGUUGUUUCACUUCUGAUAAGUACGAACAUUUGAGCGGUUCUCUCAUUUUCAGCAGAUAUUCAAGAAACUACUGAAGUAGUAAUUAAGUUUGUAAUAAUUUGAAGCAAGUAUUCUAACCAAAAAAUGUAAAUAUUAAUGGAAACUGAUGGAACAAAUUUUUCAAACGAUUGCAAAAGAGGCUUGAGUGAAAUAAAAACUGUUGAAUUUUCAUAAAAUUGUAGAUAUAUGAAUCUUUUGAGAAUUAUAUACAUAUAUUGCUACUGCUGCAUCCUGUAAUCCAUGGGAGCUGAACAGUUAUUUUAGUGAUGUUUUCAUUUUCUUUUGAAUAUUUUCGCCGAGGUUUUUAAAGAAUUAUUUGAAAGAAAUAUGUAAUAAGGUCAGUAAGUCUCUACUCUCAUAUUUUUGCUGUGAACUCCGUGGAGGUGUUGUAAUUAAUUUUCUUUUCAUCGUUGGAAAAACAAUGAGUUUUAAAUCACCCCAUUUAGGUAAAAGCACACAGAUGACUUAGAUUUAUUUUCUAUAUAAUUAGUGAUUCCAAUUAUAAUUAACAUUUCAUACAUUUUUAUAUUCAAGCGAAUAGGUUUGUCUAAUUCGUACUUUUCUGCGUCACAAAUAUUAUAAUAUUUUCUGAUUACUGAUUAGGCUCUCAAAACUUAACGCACAAUGCAACUCAUUAUCAUAGAAGCGUGCUAAAAGCGUGAGCCGCAUUCUAAUGAAGCUCAUUAGCGCGAAUAUCCUGCGAAGCAGUGUGCGAAUGACAGCUGAAUGACUACAGAAUACAUGCCGCGCCCUAAUCAUAAAUUGCGGUAAAUAGACCAUAGCCUCAGCAGGCCAUUAAUUAUGACAUUAUUUGAACCUUUAACUUUUUUGCUCCACAAAAAUGCUUCAAAAUUAAAUUUUCCUUAAAUUUUGCUUAUUUAAACGAUUGUUUGUUUUUAAAAUAUGAUUUCGAAAAACAACCUAAUCACUUAAAUAUUGCAUAUUUCGCACUAAUUGUAGAUACAAAGAUACACAUUGUAUAUUCUUAAAAUUAUCAACAAAAAAAAUAUGCAUAGAUACUUUUGGAAAGUAAAGAGUCCAAAAAACCACACCCUGUAUAAACCCUUUCUUUGUCACAAAGAAUUGCAAAGCUAAAGCAAAUAGUUCUAAAAUUUCUAAUUAUAAGACAAGAAAUCAAUCGAGAAAAUUACAAAAAUAAAAACAAACACACACAAAACUUGUUGUUGGGUUUGUGCAUCACUAACACAUGCGCAAAUAUCGCACGCAACAUUCAUUACAAUGAAUUCAUAAUCACAGCAUUUACAUCUGUACAUAGACACUCAUUGACGGAACAUAGUUAACGUUAUAUACCUACAUACAUACCUACUAAUAAUAAUUGCAAAAUAUCUCAACUAAUCAUAAGUCUAGGUAAUAAGCAAAUAAACAAAUAUAUACACGUACACAUAACAUACAUUUAAGUAUAUGUAUAUGUAUGUAUGUAUAUAUAAAUUCAUAUAAUUUUAGUACAUAUACUUAUAUAUACAAUGUAUAUGUUGUGCGCAUAAGUUAUAACCACAUUUCACAUUGUGCUGCACAGAACCAACGCCUAUUGUACUUAUACCUGUGUAUGUGUGUGUGUUUUGAGGGGGCAAAUAUCAUUAUUGUUGGCAAUUAAGCUAUAGAAUUUAAUAACAUAUGCAUAUUGAUUAAAUUACAAAUUUCACUUCGCAUCAACACUGAACGAUUUUCCAAAUUCGCGAUUUCCGAAAUAUUUGCUUACAGUCUGCUAUGAAAAUCAUGGCACAAAGUGUUUCAAGUAAAUUCAAAACAAUUCGAUGUAUACCUUUUUGUGUUUAAAAAGCCUGAAAUUAUCUUAAAAGCUAUCUUCCAACUUUUGCCGAAUCGAACAAGCAAGUGGCAUAGUACAUGAAGUUCUUAUACUAUUUCAAAUAUACAUAUAUCCACAUAACAUUGGGAAAAGUAUGAAAUAUAUAGCUACAUAAUAGAAUAGAAUAAAUAAAAACACAAUCGCUUUAUUUUUCAAAAAAGAAAAAUGAAGCUCGAGCUAAUUAUAUUAAUAUUUUUAAUGAAUGAAUAAAGUAAGUCCAGUGGUACAAAAGUUAGGUUAAAUUAAGCUACAGAGUAAGGCCCGGUAUAUAUUAGUACAAAAGAAGAGUAGUUAUAUACGUAUGUACAUAUGUAUACAUACUAUACAUGGACAAUUCCUUCAAAACCUUCAUUGUUGACUGAAGACUAUUUCUGAUUAAGUUGGGUUAGGUAGGUACAGUAAAUCUCUGACGACGCAUCUGGGCUUUCAAAAGACCCAUUGUGUAACUAUAGCGACGUUCUCUCACACAAGCAUGUCAUUAAAGAAUUCUGUGGUCUUGCUAACGUUGAUCAAUUCGAAAAUCUGAAUUUGUGCAACUUCCAAGGCAUCAUCAUGAUAACCACAGCCGAUUGAUGCGACUCUUUUCUUAUAUAAAGGUUGGGUUAGGUUAAUCUGGUAGGCCAAUAAGCCACAUACAUAUAUACCAGUUUGAUCCUUUGCGAUACCAGAUGGAGUUCAGUUGCUAAGAGGAGUGGUCAUUCUUUAGGAUGCAUUUACAAGAGAUGCUCUAUUGUUUCCCUGGUGCCCUGCUCUAGACGUCUCCUACGAUCUUCUCGUUCUGUCAGCCACAUCUUGCGGACAUGUGGCGCCACCAGACAGUGACUAGUUGGGACUACAUGUUCCUACAAUCUCUUCUAUCGAGUGUCAAUAGGAUUUUUGCAUACUCUACCGUUUGUCACAUUGACUUUUGCAGUUUUGCAUCCAGAUAACUCGUCGUAUAGACAUUACAUGUGCUUCCCAAUGUUGAUCAUGUUUUCGGAUGUUAGCCAUACACCAUUCUUGGCAAUCUCGUCUACUGUUUUAUUGCCCUCGAUUCCUUUGUGGCCUGGCACCCAUUGGAAGUGAUGAUGCUAGGUUUUGGCAACACUUACCACUACCGCCCUGCUUCUCAAGACACUUCUGGCCGAUAUGCGUUACGAGAUUUCUGCCUUGAUUGCUGCUUAUCUGUCUACUUGGAUGUUAUUUCCUAUACAAAGCCUUGCAUUCUUUUACAAUAACCAUUGUAUGGUAUCUCCAGUCCGCUGGAGUGCCUUCUAAUUAGACAAUGAUUUAUUAUCACUAAUACAAGAAUUCUUGUGUCAAUCUGUGUAGAUGUGCGGCCCAUACCUAAUUUUUCUGCUUGUUGAAGAAGUGUGGGAUUGUUGAAAUAUCACUGUGUCCUGAAAAUAUAUUGCAGGUUUAUCAUGAAACAUGAUAUUAGUCUCAUAUAUACCUUGUCAUAAGCACCCGCCUUAUCAGAUCAAGAAGGCUUUCCUUAAUUGCAGUGAACUCUGCUUGGAAGACACUAUAGAAUCUGGUAUUCGGGAGGUGAUUCUGAUGUUUAAUUCAUUUGAUUUGGACGUGAACGUAUUGAUACUUAUCUCUGUGUCUUUGUCAACGUCACCCCUAACCUACUCCUCUUUGGAAGGGAUGGCAAUAUAAAGAGCCGAAUUUAGAUUUAUUUCUAAAGGACUACGAAGAAUGCUUAGUAUUGGGUAGACUGGAAACUUUCAAAGCAAAUUAGAAUGUCCCUUAUUACAGGUGAGAUUAAUAGGGAAGAUUUCCGCAGGCUAAGUGGCGACUUCACUGCAAAUUGACAAUAAAGCAAGUCUGUGGGAUGCGUUGUUCUAAGAGCUGCACUCAUACUUAUGUAUACUUGCUGCUCUUUGUAUACUAUAAAUGUGCUUAAUGCAUCUUUCAUUUUCAGUAUUCGCCACCAGACCAAUAUAUCGUAUGUCAUAAUCGGUCUGACAACUGCCGUUUAGAGCCAACAAUUGGCGUUAGUACCCCUUUAGGUCCCACCAAACUUUUACUUCGCCUAAGUUUUAAUUGAUCCAUUGCCAAAACACGGAAGAAAAUAACAGCCAACUUUCACAGCUCCUAAACCGAAUACAGACUCUGACUACCCACGUUCUUGAAACUGAAUUUGUGAAAAUUUGUAUAUGUUAUCUGAGUAGUUAUGGUAUGAUGAGAAGCUCUAGCCCAUUCAUUAAUAGUUAUUGGCUUUGGGUAAAGGUACUGUUUUUGCACUGAUCUUAAGAUUAAUAUUUUUAUCACACCUUUUAUAGAAAGCGACUUUUUUCUAAUGGGUUUUGAUCGAUGAAUGCAGAAGAUAGUAGUUUUUGGUGAUAAAUAGAUUUUUGGGCAUCUAUGGACCUAUUUUAGUUUAUGCAGAUCUUCUCUACAUCAUUUUAAAAUUCAAAAAUCAGUUAACAGAAUUCUGUUAAGUCUAUUGAGUUCUUGAAAAGUGUCUAAUUUUAGUAACAUGAUAUGUGCCAUGUUUUUUACAGUAAACUGUUUUACAAUGAACACAUUCACAGACAUACAUCCUUUAUUUCAUUAAAAUUAGACUAAAAUUAAUUGUGAAAUAAGUGAAUGUUGGAAUGAUGAAUUUCUUACACAUUACCGUUAACUUGUACUAUGUAGAUAAUGAAAUAUUUCAAACUAAUUGCUAUUGUAGGCAUCUCAUUUGUGGAAUAGUGUUAACAGUAUACACACUUACUUAUAAAUAACAACAACAUAUAUUAUAAGCAAUCUUACGUUUCAGCUCUUAAACUUGUAAAAAAACAGUCUUAGCAAAAAAUUGUUAAAACAUUUUGAUGGGUGCGGAUUAAGAGGUUUAGUAAAAAGUAGUAACAUUCCAAAAGUAGUAAAGAUUUUUCAUUGAAACACUUAUAUGUAAGAUAAGGGAAGUUUUGAAAGAAUUUGCAAUUUUGAUAUUUUUUAAAAAUAUUUACAUUAACUUUAUAAAUGCCAAAAACAAAAACAGCAUUUGCACAACAUUUUUCACUUUUUUAAUUAGACAGCAAAGGAGACUGUCAUUUUUGUAAAUAACCAUUUUUGUAUGUAGCAAACAUGGUAGAAUUAAAGAAAAGUAUAACGCAACAUUCAUUCACCUGCAACAACAAAAAGUAGUGCUGGAGAAGAGUAUCAUCCAAAAAUAGUCAGACAGUAAAAAUGAAAUUAUAAGAACUAUUAACUUCUGGAACCCGGUCAGCACAUUUGAGAAGCUGAAAAAACUAUUUUAGAUAAUAUUUGCCGAUACGUUUUUUAUAUAGUAAAUAGCUGAAAAAGUGAUACUCAACUGAUUUAUAAUUUUUGAAAAUAUUUUUUAGUUACUAAAACAAUUUUUUUUUAAUUUCCAAAUUUCCUCUUUCUUCAAAUAACAUGCUUUCUGCAUCACUUUCUAUUGUAAUAAUUUUACUAACAGUUUGUGUAAGAAAUACGGAUGAGCAAAGUCGCAUAAAAUGCAAGAGAGAAGGCUAGAAUAGGCGUUUUCGAUUCGCCACUUCACUUCUUUUGUUUGAGCUUUGCACUCUCCGUGUGAAAUCACCUACUAAAAGGAACUCAUUUAAGUUGUUUUAACUUUGAAAUUCGAUUUCCUUUGGAUUAUACCAAUCAACUGAAUUUAUACCAGUUGUUUGUUCGAUUUGGCACUCAAGAUUUAAAUCCACUUUUCUUUUGAUUUUAAAUUAUUUUAUUUUGCAUUAAAAUGCAAUUUUAAGAUUGGUUGAGUUUAUUCGGAUCUUAAGAUGUAUAUCUUAUUAGAAUUUUUUUUUAGAAAAUUGUUAACAAAAUAAAAAUCUAUUAUCGACUGCACUAAUAACAUUGUUACUCCAUUUAUUACUAUUAAAAGAAAAAUAUUUUGAUGAAUAAGUUUUCGAGUGAAAUUUAAAAAAAGUCUUACUAUUUUUUGCCCACAAAAAUAUUUCUUAUAUCUUAUGCAAUCUUUUAAUAAUAAACUUAAGAUAGUGCAGAAACAACUUUAGCAAAACGAGAAAAUAUUUCUCUUCGUAAAAAACCGUUUAAAGAGACUGUGAGUGUCGUUAAGUCAAUGAAGUGAAGCCCAAAUUAAUGGAAAUAAUAGAAAUAAUUGGGAACUUAAAAAUAAAUAAAUAAUUAUAAUUAGUAAAUAUUACACUGCCAUAGAUGAAAGCGUUUAAAUAAUAAGCAAAAAGAUUCAACACUUCAUCCAAUUAACCAAUAUGUAUAACCAAUAUUUGUAUGUAUAUUUAUAUAAAUUUUAACUUUAGAUAAAACUAGAAAAAGUUUUGCUGGAGCUUAUAGUAUUUUUGGGAAAACUUGAUUUUUUAGAAGAGAUUUUGUGAAAUGAGAAUCGUUAAAGCAUGAUUAGUUAAAUGUUUAGUUAAAUACUGAGGGGCAUAGUUAAUUUUAAUAAGAGAUUUUUUGGAACUUAUUGACUUCUUAUUUUUAAAAAAUUGGUAAUAUUUUUAAUAGUUUAUUUUUAGUGAUUAUUAUUUAGAUAAGAUAUGAUGAAUAAGUUCAUAAAAUAUAUAUUUUAAAAGCUACGAACUUAAUUUAGAUAAUAAGGUUCCAGGUUUCGAGAAAUCCUAUUCGCAACCGUUAUCUAUCAAUAUUUUGUUUAAGCACUUUCUUUUAUUUUUCACAAGUUAUACAUAUUUAUGUAUAUACCAACACCUUAACUUCCUUAUUUAUGUCUGUCACUGAAAGUUGAGGCAAAACAAGAGUUUAAAUUUUUUUGUAACGGUGGUAUAUUUUAGUUAGCUCUUUGACUACCAGCGUUUUCGAAAAUCUAUCUUUGGGACGGCUAAGGCUAGUUAUUUAGACACGCGAAUUUACUAUUUAGCUUUAAGGGGGUAUUCUUAUCUAAAGGACGCUGGACCCACCCUGAUAUCACAUUUCCAUUACUUCAGGGUGGUGCGUAUUUUACGCGAACUUGCGAAUCCCCCCGUUUACUUCACACUCCAGCAUGACGCUGAUAAAAUUGUCCGCGUUUAUUGGGCCAGCAAGGUCUUCUAUGGCGGCGCGUUCUCGUUGCCCGCGCACACAUUCAAACAAUGUCUGUGUUCUGUCGCAUCGCAUCGCAUGACGGCUCUUCGAAUUUUCCUUUGGUCUUUCAUUAGUCUGGUCGUCCAUCUGCAGCUACUAUCAUUCUCACAUCUUCUUAUUAUUGUAUCUUUCUUUAUUUGUUCUAUUGCGCUCUAGUUAUUUUCGGAUGUUGUCUUUAGCUCCCACUAUCUGGCAUAUGAAAGGAAAAAUAUGUCAGAUAGUCAAUUGGGACAUUACCGCUUAUAACUAAUAUUGUGUCACCUGACACUGUCGGUAAACUAAUGCAACUCUUAAGGGCUGCGGUGGACUCUGGCCACUAUCUCAGCUCCGUAUAAUAGGACGCUUGUCGUCGACAUUAGGAGCUUUCACUUUCUUUGGCUGGGGCCCCCCAUGUUGGCCAAUGGUCUGCUAAGUUGGGAGGUGAUUUUUGCUGCAUUUCUUACGGCAUGCUGGAUUUGUACCCAGAAUCCAAGUUAUUCUGUGGUCCAGUUUUAUGUCUAGGAAGUUUGCUGCUUUUUUCGUUCUCGUUUACAUACUUAUUUCGAGGGGUAUGUGGUUUUAGUAUAGCGUCGUAGCUGAUGUUAAACAAGUCAGAGCCUAGAAUGUAUCCUUGUGCUGCUCCUGACGUGACUCCUACCUCCACACCACAGCUCUGAGGCGUCGAUCACAUUCACCCAUCUAGCGUUGUUGACGGCGUUUCGGACAUCUAAAGUCGCCAGCACCACUAUUCUUUUGUAUUUAUGCCAUCUACGCUGUGCAGCUUCUACACUGUCAAUGACACAUUUUAUAGCUUUUAGAGUUGAUCAGCCGGGUCUAAAGCCGUGUUAUCUAGGAGGGAGUCCUCCAGCUAUGUUGAUAGCCGCUUCGAGCCUGGGUUUGAAUAGCCUUUCAUAGAGCUUUCCCGCUUUGUCAAACAUGCAUAGUGGACGGCAUACUGAUGGCAAGUCGGGAUCUUCUUUUCUCCUUCUAAUUAGCAACACGCGUUGCUUUUUCCAGAGUUUCGGCUUCGUUGUACAGAUUCAAUAGCACUGCCGGUCGCUCUGCAGCGAUUAUAGCCAGGUUUUUUGAGGAGAUAUGUGAUUUGUUGGUCUUGAGCUUGCCAGUGCCUAGUUGCAGCUCUUCAAGGGUAUACUGAGGAUUUGGGGAAGUCUUACAGUCUGUUCUGGAUCACUAGCUCUUUCUUCGUGUGAGGGGAAGAGUGCGUUUACGAUGUGAUCCAUGCGGCUCCUCUGCGAUAUUUUUUGACUACCAGUAAACUGCUGCUUUAUAUUUGCUGUAGGAAGCCUUAGGCAUUGAUUUUUGACAGGCUCUUGUUAAAUUAAGCAUUGAGUGCUCCAGAAUUUUCCUUGCAAUUCUGGGGAAGCUGUCAGAUGGGUUCUGAUUGUUUAUUGCGGAGAUUAAUUUCGAAUUAUUUAGAUUCGAAAUCUUCCACUUUCGUGUUCCCAUACUUUUCCUGUGCUGUUUAGCGUUUCUUCCGAAGUAAACGGGAGGAGAUAUGCAAACGGCGCCGUGGUGACCAUUAGACCGAUCAAAUUAUAAAUGGUAUAAAAGUAUCCUUAAUAAAAACAGCAGGCAUUGGGAUCAAAUUUGAGUGUUUAAUUUAAUUUUAUUAUCAUAAUAAACUUUUUGUAAUUCACAAGUGGAUAUAAUCCCUCAAGAAUGAACUUUAUUGGCUAAAUCCGUGAUAUUUUAGGGAGAUAUUUUUGAUUAUUUCAUCGAAAUAUCAAAAAAAAAUUAAAUUUUAAAUUGCCGAGCUAGAACACCCCCUAAAUUUCAGCCAUCCCUUGUUACAAAUGUUAGGUCUAAUCUAAAUGCGGAGUUUUCUUUAAGUUUAAAUUAUUUUCCAUAAUAAGAAGUAUAUUUAUUAAUAUUUUUGAAAGGUCUGGAUGAAUACUUUUAAUGAAAAAUAUUUUUUUAAUUUAUUUAUGUUUUAUUAUUUUAUAAAAUUAUAUUUUGUACCUUUGAUUGUAUUGUAUUUUACAUCAAAAAAUAACCAAAAUGUUUACGAAUUCCAAAUAAUUUUUAUAACUAACGGUGCUUCACUUUGUUGGCUUCUCAACACACCACAUUCCAAUUGAAGACAGUAUUUCAACUGAGAAAACAACAAACAAUAAAUAUAAUAUUGAAACUUAGGUAGUUAAUUGCACAAAUUAAAUUUAAAUUAGGCAAAAUCCAUGCAGUUAUUUGUAAGUAAGCCCAUUAUCAUUGAAAAAGGAAAUAAUAAAAAAUUAUCAAAACAUUCAAAGCACAUUUAAGCCAGAUAAUUGUAUUAAUAAAAAAUUGUUGAACCUAAAAUAAUGAAAAAAAUUUGUAAAUAUAAAACAAGUAGCAGUUGUUUACUAAGAAACACAAACGAAACAAGGAAAUUAAUAAUAAAAUUACAAAUAAAUAAAAAAAUUAACUAAUUUUAUACACAAAACGAAUUCACCCAUGCAUUAUUAGUAAAAUUUUACACAUAAGUCAGUACCUAAAUGAAAUUAUUAAAACUAUUCUUAACAAAAUAACAAAAACAAAAACUAUGAAACGAUUACUAAUUAAUAAAAAUAAUUUAAAUAAAUAUAAAUUAGCUGAUGUAAACAGGACAGAAAGUCCUUGCAAAUGUUAACAGAUACUAAAACUCAAACUCUAUAAUUAUUAAGUGGCUAGAAGAAUUCAAAAAAUAUUAAUUUAAAACAACAAA